CGCCGCUACUUUAGCCCGUGAGGGAGACCUGCUUGCUUGCUCCAUGGAUGGCGGAGGGAGAUUCUGCCUCGCUCCAACAGAAGACAGCACUAGAAAGUUUCAGAAUCUAUGUACAACUGGGUUGAACAUCGGUGACCACGGCACUAGAAGCCCAACUCCAAAGUUCAGACUAGCAGCAGUGCUGGACAAAAAUUGAUUAUAGAGCCUCCACGCUGGUAAGUUAUCUUUAUGCACAUGAAUGUAAAUAUUUUCAGC
rnacentral:lncRNA from 1 species